rnacentral:tRNA from 1 species
GUCAGGAUGGCCGAGCUGUCCAAGGCACUGCGUUCAGGUCGCCGUCAGGUCUUCCGGGCGUGGGUUCGAAUCCCACUUCUGACA